rnacentral:lncRNA from 1 species
CUCUUAAUCACAUUGUUUAAGUGAUAGUUUGUUUCAUGUCUACUAUCCAAUGUGAUACUUUCCUAUAUGAUUCAUUUGAAUAUGAUUUGGAACAAACUUCCUAAGUCAUAUUCAUUUGCUUUGGCCAAAGACUUUAGAAUCAUAUCUUAGAGUAUUCUCCCUCCACCUUGGAAGGUUAGAGAUCCCUUGUUGUGCAUUCAUAUGCCUACAUGAUUAGAUAGCUUGACCCCAACAAUGCCGUGGACACUCCAAAGGAAUGCCGUUGACAGGAUCAAAGAUCAAGGACCUAACUAUUAGACAUCGAUGAUGCCUCAGGUCAAAGGACUACUUUGCAUAUUGCAACUUUAGAGUUCAUACA